GACAGAGGUGCCAAGCGUUAGGCGGAAUCACUGGGCUUAAAGCGUGUGUAGGCGGACGCCUAAGUGUCUUGUGAAAUCCCACGGCUCACCCGUGGAACUGCUGGGCAUACUGGGCGUCUUGGGCCAACUAGGGGCAGCCGGAACAAGCGGUGGAGCGGUGAAAUGCGUAGAUAUCGCUUGGAACGCCGAAGGUGAAAACAGGCUGCUGGGGUUGCGCCGACGCUGAGACACGAAAGCCAGGGGAGCAAACGGG
rnacentral:rRNA from 1 species